rnacentral:rRNA from 1 species
UAGGGAAUCUUCCGCAAUGGGCGAAAGCCUGACGGAGCAACGCCGCGUGAGUGAUGAAGGUCUUCGGAUCGUAAAACUCUGUUAUUAGGGAAGAACAAAUGUGUAAGUAACUAUGCACGUCUUGACGGUACCUAAUCAGAAAGCCACGGCUAACUACGUGCCAGCAGCCGCGGUAAUACGUAGGUGGCAAGCGUUAUCCGGAAUUUUUGGGCGUAAAGCGCGCGUAGGCGGUUUUUUAAGUCUGAUGUGAAAGCCCACGGCUCAACCGUGGAGGGUCAUUGGAAACUGGAAAACUUGAGUGCAGAAGAGGAAAGUGGAAUGCAAUGUGUGGCGGUAAAAUGCGCGGAGAUAUGGAGGAUACCCAGUGGCAAAGGCGACUUUCUGGUCUGUAACUGACGCUGAUGUGCGAAAGCGUGGGGAUCAAACAGG